ensembl:snoRNA
AUCCUCUUGUAGUUCAUAAGCAUGAAGACUGGGUUUUCAUGCUCAUGUGCGAGAUACGCCUCCUUCAAACCUUGUAAUAGCACAUUAUCUUUCUGACA